UACCAAGUGAGUGCUACUUCUCACUCUCUUCACCUCUUACUAUUCUAGUAUUAUAUUUGGGCUUAAGAAAUGAUACCUCUAAUUUAAUUAUUAGGCCCAAUAAGACAUAGUAUUAUAAUAUCUCUAUUUAGUUCAAAUAAAUUAAACCAACACGAUAUACUCACCAAGUCCAAUAAUUCAAUUAUUCAUUGUAUCUCAUAUCAACUAAAUAAUUGAUUAACACACAUAUAAUCAAUUAUUACACUACCUAACAACCAAUUAAUUAAU
rnacentral:lncRNA from 1 species